rnacentral:rRNA from 1 species
AUUGAACGCUGGCGGCAUGCUUUACACAUGCAAGUCGAACGGUAACAGGGAGCUUGCUCCGCUGACGAGUGGCGAACGGGUGAGUAAUAUAUCGGAACGUACCCAAGAGUGGGGGAUAACGUAGCGAAAGUUACGCUAAUACCGCAUACGAUCCAAGGAUGAAAGCAGGGGACCUUCGGGCCUUGUGCUCCUGGAGCGGCCGAUAUCUGAUUAGCUAGUUGGUGAGGUAAAGGCUCACCAAGGCGACGAUCAGUAGCUGGUCUGAGAGGACGACCAGCCACACUGGAACUGAGACACGGUCCAGACUCCUACGGGAGGCAGCAGUGGGGAAUUUUGGACAAUGGGCGCAAGCCUGAUCCAGCAAUGCCGCGUGAGUGAAGAAGGCCUUCGGGUUGUAAAGCUCUUUUGUCAGGGAAGAAACGGCUGUGGCUAAUAUCCACGGCUAAUGACGGUACCUGAAGAAUAAGCACCGGCUAACUACGUGCCAGCCGCCGCGGUAA